AUAUAUUAUUGCGUAAUUUCCUUUACCGUCUAAUGUACAUGUAGCCUCAUGCUACACAGCUGCCCUCGGGAAUAAAAAGCCUUUUUAAAAAACUUUAGAGGGAGACUUGAAGGAUUUGCUUUGUGAAGCUGCUGCACCUUCUUCUUUGACAGAUUCCAGCUGUGCCAGGUGUGCAAAAACUCACUUUUUAUUCACAACCAGGAGUGAGCAGACAUGGCUGUCAGUGAGCUGCUUCUAAACUAUCUGGACGAGUUGACCAAAGACGAGUUUGACAGGUUUAAGUGGUAUCUAACAAAUCCGGGGCUGGAUAAUUUUAAACCAAUUCCCAAGGCUCACCUAGAAGGUGCAAAGCGAAAUAGACACAGUGAACAAGAUGAUGCAGAACUACAGGGAAGAAGGUGCUUUGAAGGUCACGGUAACCAUCCUAAGGAAGCUACGCAGGAAUGAUCUUGCAGAGAAACUUUCAAAAGAAAAAGCGGGAAUGCAAAGCGCUGCAUCCUCAACCUCUGCCACCUCUUCUGCGACGCCUGCUGCUGGUCCAUCAGUUGUAGCUCACGAAGGAAGCGUGAUCAUUGCCCCAAACCUCAAUAACAGUGGCCAUGGAACAUGGAAUAUAAAUAUUAGAAAAGAUGAUUAAAUUCAUACCAUAGAAUUGUACUUAUUUUAACUCAGGUUAUAUUUUCAAAUCAGCUUUACUCCUGAAUCUCCAAAGCAUCAUCAGCAUCAGGAGUUAGUGUAAUCAAUUAUUUUCCUCUUUUUUAACAUUGUGACAUCAUCCUUAAAUGCAGUUAUCUAUCUUAUAAAUCUACACCUGCAGUAGUUGGAACAUUCAGCAACACAGAAACAUGACAAAUUAUUUUACCUUUUUUUCUAUAAACCCAUGUGGAGUAUCUUGGAUUUCUUUUUUUAGUUGUCAAUUGAUUUUAUGUGUGUGGCGUUCCUCUAAGUCAUCGCAUACUUCACUCACCUGCCAAUGUUUCCUCCUGGUCUGAUGCAUUACUGAUUUUGACUAACAAUGUUUAAGAAGCAAGACAAACACAGGUGCAACAAAGUGAUGCACAGUUAUUAUCAUAGAACAUUUAAACUCUUUAACUAGACUUUUUCAGCAAGACACACUUUAACUCACUUCUAUGGCCACUAGUCUGCUGCAUAAAACAAUGUUUGGUCUGCAAAGUGGUGAAACCAAAAUAACAGUGAUACAUAUGUGUUUGCUUUAGACCCAUUUUAAUCAAAGUUCUUCCUAGCUCAUCUCAUACCUUUAUAAUAAGAUGUUCACCUAUGAUUUUCAUGUGUAUCUGGUGGAGGAUUUGUAUCAUUUCCUAUGUUGUUUCUGAUAUUUUGAUGAUUUUCUGUGAAGUUUUUUGAUGAUUUUACUUUUUGAAUGUUUUUAUGAUAUAAAGCGCUUUGAAUUGCCUUUCCGCUGAAAUGUUCUCUAUGAAUAAAUUUCUUACUUACUCCAUUUA